rnacentral:rRNA from 1 species
AGUGAACGCUGGCGGUAGGCCUAACACAUGCAAGUCGAACGGCAGCACAGUAAGAGCUUGCUCUUACGGGUGGCGAGUGGCGGACGGGUGAGGAAUACAUCGGAAUCUACUUUUUCGGGGGGGAUAACGUAGGGAAACUUACGCUAAUACCGAAUACGACCUACGGGUGAAAGCAGGGGAUAUUCGGACCUUGCGCGAUUGAAUGAGCCGAUGUCGGAUUAGCUAGUUGGCGGGGUAAAGGCCCACCAAGGCGACGAUCCGUAGCUGGUCUGAGAGGAUGAUCAGCCACACUGGAACUGAGACACGGUCCAGACUCCUACGGGAGGCAGCAGUGGGGAAUCUUGGACAAUGGGCGCAAGCCUGAUCCAGCCAUACCGCGUGGGUGAAGAAGGCCUUCGGGUUGUAAAGCCCUGUUGUUGGGAAAGAAAAGCAGCGGGUUAAUACCCCGCUGUUCUGACGGUACCCAAAGAAUAAGCACCGGCUAACUUCGUG